rnacentral:rRNA from 1 species
UAGGGAAUCUUCCACAAUGGGCGCAAGCCUGAUGGAGCAACACCGCGUGAGUGAAGAAGGGUUUCGGCUCGUAAAACUCUGUUGUUGAAGAAGAACGUGCGUGAGAGUAACUGUUCACGCAGUGACGGUACUCAACCAGAAAGUCACGGCUAACUACGUGCCAG